ACUGAACGCUGGCGGCAUGCCUUACACAUGCAAGUCGAACGGUAACAGGCCGCAAGGUGCUGACGAGUGGCGAACGGGUGAGUAAUGCAUCGGAACGUGCCCAGUCGUGGGGGAUAACGCAGCGAAAGCUGCGCUAAUACCGCAUACGAUCUAUGGAUGAAAGCGGGGGACCGUAAGGCCUCGCGCGAUUGGAGCGGCCGAUGUCAGAUGAGGUAGUUGGUGGGGUAAAGGCUAACCAAGCCAACGAUCUGUAGCUGGUCUGAGAGGACGCCCAGACGCACUGGGACGGAGACACGGCCCAGCCUCCUACGGGAGGCAGCAGUGGGGAAUUUUGGACAAUGGGCGCAAGCCUGAUCCAGCAAUGCCGCGUGCAGGAAGAAGGCCUUCGGGUUGUAAACUGCUUUUGUACGGAACGAAACGGCUCUCACUAAUACUGGGGGCUAAUGACGGUACCGUAAGAAUAAGCACCGGCUAACUACGUGCCAGCCGCCGCGGUAAAAC
rnacentral:rRNA from 1 species